rnacentral:rRNA from 1 species
UGAGACUCUGUGCGCGUGCAUAUCAAUAAGCGGAGGAAAAGAAACUAACAAGGAUUCCCUUAGUAACGGCGAGUGAAGCGGGAAGAGCUCAAAUUUGAAAUCUUCAAGGUUCUACCUUGACGAAUUGUAGUUUAUAGAAGUGUUUUCUGUUAGUGGAGUGGCAAAAGUUCUUUGGAAUAGGACAUCAUAGAGGGUGAGAAUCCCGUAUUUGGUCAUUCCUCCUAGCGUUGUGAUACACUUUCAACGAGUCGGAUUGUUUGGGAAUGCAGUCCAAAAUGGGUGGUAAAUUUCAUCUAAAGCUAAAUAUUGGCGAGAGACCGAUAGCGAACAAGUACCGUGAGGGAAAGAUGAAAAGAACUUUGAAAAGAGAGUUAAACAGUACGUGAAAUUGUCAAAAGGGAAGCGUUUGACACCAGUGUUGUUUUUCCGAAAAUCAAUUACGAAUGUUUUGUUUUUGAGGAGUUAUGACUUCAUCGGCUUGCUCCUUUCUUUAUGAAACUUUCUUAAUGCACUUUUCGGUUAACAAGUCAACAUCAAUUUCUUUUGUUGUAAAAGGGUAUGAGGAAGGUGGCUUUCUUUUCGGAGAAAGUGUUUAUAGCCUUGUGCCUCUGCAAUCGGAGAGAUUGAGGUCUGCAGCGUAGAUCCUUCGGGGUUAGAUACGUUUGUGCUAAGUUAUAGCUUUUCAUAGACAACUUGUUGACUAUGUUUAGUCUUGUAGCUUACUCGCUGACGCUAUUUUACCUACGCUUAGGAUGUUGACAGCAGUAUAGACUGU